CCUACGGGAGGCAGCAGUGAGGAAUAUUGGUCAAUGGGCGCGAGCCUGAACCAGCCAAGUCGCGUGAGGGAAGACGGUCCUAUGGAUUGUAAACCUCUUUUGUCGGGGAGCAAAAGACGCCACGCGUGGCGUUCCGAGUGUACCCUAAGAAAAAGCAUCGGCUAACACCGUUCCAGCAGCCGCGGUAAUACGGAGGAUGCGAGCGUUAUCCGGAUUUAUUGGGUUUAAAGGGUGCGCGGGCGGAUUUUAAAGUUAGCGGUAAAAUUGAGAGGCUCAACCGCGUCGCGCCGUUGAAACUGGGGUUCGUGAGUGAGGGAGAGGAGUGCGGAAUGCGAGGUGUAGCGGUGAAAUGCAUAGAUAUCACGCAGAACACCGAUUGCGAAGGCAGCAUACCGGCGCUCAACUGACGCUGAGGCACGAAAGCGUGGGGAUCGAACAGGAUUAGAUACCCCGGUAGUC
rnacentral:rRNA from 1 species